rnacentral:lncRNA from 1 species
CAAGUUGAAGAAUUGUCUGAAAGAAAAUACAGUGUGUCUAAACUGGAAAAGUCCUGUAAUAGUUUGUUCAUGAGCAUUUACACAAUGGAGUUGCUGUUUCAUCAUGGGGGUACUGUGGACAAACCCAGGGCUGCUGCUCAAGCUGUAAAAGCCAAAGGUCCACCCCUUUUUUCCAGUCUCAAGCUGAAGAUCUUUAUGUAGAAGGCCUUCCCC